CUUCAGUGCUGCAGCUAACGCAUUAAGCAUUCCGCUGGGGAGUACGGCCGCAAGGCUGAAACUCAAAGGAAUUGACGGGGGCCCGCACAAGCGGUGGAGCAUGUGGUUUAAUUCGAAGCUACGCGAAGAACCUUACCAGGUCUUGACAUACUAUGCAAAUCUAAGAGAUUAGACGUUCCCUUCGGGGACAUGGAUACAGGUGGUGCAUGGUUGUCGUCAGCUCGUGUCGUGAGAUGUUGGGUUAAGUCCCGCAACGAGCGCAACCCUUAUUAUCAGUUGCCAGCAUUAAGUUGGGCACUCUGGUGAGACUGCCGGUGACAAACCGGAGGAAGGUGGGGAUGACGUCAAAUCAUCAUGCCCCUUAUGACCUGGGCUACACACGUGCUACAAUGGAUGGUACAACGAGUUGCGAACUCGCGAGAGUAAGCUAAUCUCUUAAAGCCAUUCUCAGUUCGGAUUGUAGGCUGCAACUCGCCUACAUGAAGUCGGAAUCGCUAGUAAUCGCGGAUCAGCAUGCCGCGGUGAAUACGUUCCCGGGCCUUGUACACACCGCCCGUCACACCAUGAGAGUUUGUAACACCCAAAGUCGGUGGGGUAACCUUUAGGGACCAGCCGCCUAAGGUGGGACAGAUGAUUAGGGUGAAGUCGUAACAAGGUAACCA
rnacentral:rRNA from 1 species